rnacentral:rRNA from 1 species
UACGAAGGGGCAAGCGUUGUUCGGAAUCACUGGGCGUAAAGGGCGCGUAGGCGGUCCUUUCAAGUCAGGCGUGAAAGCCCCGGGCUCAACCUGGGAACGGCGCUUGAGACUGAAGAGCUGGAGUUCGGGAGAGGAUGGUGGAAUUCCCAGUGUAGAGGUGAAAUUCGUAGAGAUUGGGAAGAACACCGGUGGCGAAGGCGGCCAUCUGGACCGACACUGACGCUGAGGCGCGACAGCGUGGGGAGCAAACAGG